ensembl:lncRNA
UAAUUGUUGUCCAUGUAAACGCAGCUAUUCACUGAUGCUCAAGAAGGUAACAAUGCAUUAAGAGCCUGGCUGUAAACUUUUUAACAGGAUGAUUGUGUAAAUUGUUUUGUCUUCUGGGAUACAUGUAUAUCUUAUUUAGCUUCUGAAUGGCUGUAAUAAAUGAAAAAAAUAAGAUCUUUAAACAAACUAAUAACAAUUUACACUGAUCAUCCUAUUAAAAUGUUUACACCCCCCUGGCUCUUAAUGUAUUUUCUUACCCUGAUUAGUUUCUAAUGACUGGUUAGUUUCUUGGUGUAAUGAACAGAAUCUGCUGUUUGUUAAUAACUGGAACCUGUUCUGGGAGCAUCCUAGGUUGUUUUGUCCUGAUGGCCUGCACCCCAGCAGCCUCAGAGUGGAACUGCUGUCAGACAACAUCUCCAAGGCGCUACACACCAAGUGACUGCCUACCUCGCGACGGGCAGAGAGCCAGCGUACACAAGAAGGAAAUCGCUCGUUCUCCAACUGCCACACCGGCACGACGUGGGCAGCUUUGUGCCGAAUAUUCCGCCAACCGGAAGGACCGCCGCGGCAGGGCGGGACUGACGCGACACCGGCCAGUGAUUGGCGGACCCAACGGAGAAAUUCCACCACUCAGGCGACGGCGGAGGAGGAUAAAAGGGCGCGCUUCCGGCCGUAUGAGAGAGGAGAAUAUCGUAGCGACAAGACGGACUCCGUGCAAGCGCGGACAAGAUCGCCGGGUGGUGAGAGUCCCACCUACGAUGGACGCCGGCCCGGGAAAACCCUCGCCCCCGUCUCAGGAAUCCCGCCUCCGCCACGAGUAGGCUACACCGGCAGUCACGCCUCCACAAGCCCCGCACUCAUCCCCUCACAACCCACUCACCUCACCCUUGCACCAAUAAAUCACCGUUUGUGAAC